UGAAUCCCCACCCCAACAACUAGUGCAUGCUUGACUCCUGGUUUAAAAAGAUCUCUCCAACUUGGCCCUUUUAUAGCAGUUUCAGAAGGAUGAACCAUAGCUGGUCCAACUGGAUUCUGAUCCAUAAGCUCCUUGGAAUAAAGAGCAGGUUGACUUACCAAAGCAGCAGCGCAGGUCAUCUCACCAUCAACAGGGACCUCACCACCUGGAACAGAAACUAAAGAUCCGCGUUGAGAUCGAGGGAUGCUGUCCUGGUGCAAAUAAAUUCUUUUAAAACCUCCUUCCUUCUUUCCAUCUUGACCUUCUUUUUCUGACCAUUUCCA
rnacentral:lncRNA from 1 species